rnacentral:rRNA from 1 species
AAAUUGAAGAGUUUGAUCAUGGCUCAGAUUGAACGCUGGCGGCAGGCCUAACACAUGCAAGUCGAGCGGUAGCACAGAGAGCUUGCUCUCGGGUGACGAGCGGCGGACGGGUGAGUAAUGUCUGGGAAACUGCCUGAUGGAGGGGGAUAACUACUGGAAACGGUAGCUAAUACCGCAUAACGUCGCAAGACCAAAGUGGGGGACCUUCGGGCCUCAUGCCAUCAGAUGUGCCCAGAUGGGAUUAGCUAGUAGGUGGGGUAACGGCUCACCUAGGCGACGAUCCCUAGCUGGUCUGAGAGGAUGACCAGCCACACUGGAACUGAGACACGGUCCAGACUCCUACGGGAGGCAGCAGUGGGGAAUAUUGCACAAUGGGCGCAAGCCUGAUGCAGCCAUGCCGCGUGUGUGAAGAAGGCCUUCGGGUUGUAAAGCACUUUCAGCGGGGAGGAAGGCGUUAAGGUUAAUAACCUCAUCGAUUGACGUUACCCGCAGAAGAAGCACCGGCUAACUCCGUGCCAGCAGCCGCGGUAAUACGGAGGUGCAAGCGUUAAUCGGAAUUACUGGGCGUAAAGCGCACGCAGGCGGUCUGUCAAGUCGGAUGUGAAAUCCCCGGGCUCAACCUGGGAACUGCAUUCGAAACUGGCAGGCUAGAGUCUUGUAGAGGGGGGUAGAAUUCCAGGUGUAGCGGUGAAAUGCGUAGAGAUCUGGAGGAAUACCGGUGGCGAAGGCGGCCCCCUGGACAAAGACUGACGCUCAGGUGCGAAAGCGUGGGGAGCAAACAGGAUUAGAUACCCUGGUAGUCCACGCCGUAAACGAUGUCGAUUUGGAGGUUGUGCCCUUGAGGCGUGGCUUCCGGAGCUAACGCGUUAAAUCGACCGCCUGGGGAGUACGGCCGCAAGGUUAAAACUCAAAUGAAUUGACGGGGGCCCGCACAAGCGGUGGAGCAUGUGGUUUAAUUCGAUGCAACGCGAAGAACCUUACCUGGUCUUGACAUCCACAGAACUUAGCAGAGAUGCUUUGGUGCCUUCGGGAACUGUGAGACAGGUGCUGCAUGGCUGUCGUCAGCUCGUGUUGUGAAAUGUUGGGUUAAGUCCCGCAACGAGCGCAACCCUUAUCCUUUGUUGCCAGCGGUCCGGCCGGGAACUCAAAGGAGACUGCCAGUGAUAAACUGGAGGAAGGUGGGGAUGACGUCAAGUCAUCAUGGCCCUUACGACCAGGGCUACACACGUGCUACAAUGGCAUAUACAAAGAGAAGCGACCUCGCGAGAGCAAGCGGACCUCAUAAAGUAUGUCGUAGUCCGGAUUGGAGUCUGCAACUCGACUCCAUGAAGUCGGAAUCGCUAGUAAUCGUAGAUCAGAAUGCUACGGUGAAUACGUUCCCGGGCCUUGUACACACCGCCCGUCACACCAUGGGAGUGGGUUGCAAAAGAAGUAGGUAGCUUAACCUUCGGGAGGGCGCUUACCACUUUGUGAUUCAUGACUGGGGUGAAGUCGUAACAAGGUAACCGUAGGGGAACCUGCGGUUGGAUCACCUCCUUACCUUAAAGAA